rnacentral:rRNA from 1 species
UACGUAGGGCGCAAGCGUUGUCCGGAAUUAUUGGGCGUAAAGGGCUCGUAGGCGGUUUGUCGCGUCGGGAGUGAAAACCUCGGGCUUAACUCGGGGCUUGCUUUCGAUACGGGCAGACUAGAGGUAUGCAGGGGAGAACGGAAUUCCUGGUGUAGCGGUGAAAUGCGCAGAUAUCAGGAGGAACACCGGUGGCGAAGGCAGCUCGCUGGGACGGUACUGACGAUGAGGCGCGAAAGCGUGGGGAGCAAACAGG